AAAUGAACAAAUAAUAAUUAGAGUAGUAUGCUUUAUAGUAUAAGCAAGCACACUGUACGCAAGUGAGUCAGACAACGUAAUGUCAUUUGACUGACGGUUUACUUGGCACUGUCUUGUCAGCAGAGAAUACCUUGAAGGUCCUGACGGCACGCCACUGUGUUACAAUUCGAAUAUCCGCCACAGCCCACGUGUUUCUUUUUUUCCCUACAUGGCUGCGCUUCCUCCAGUUUCACCUGAAGAAAAUGCAGCCAAAACAAAGCGAAGAGACAAGCUACGGUCAAACCUGUGAUAAGGUUCUGAAUCAGCAAAUUUGCAGCUCGAUGGAAGCUCACAAUUCUGGGUGGAGCUGCUGGAAGAACUGAAGGAGUCAGGCCAUUUCAAUGGCUCCAAAAGGAUGUAAAUAAAUGCACAAUCUUCUCUGGAACCAGCACAGAAUCAGACCUUCAAGAAUGUCACCCUGCACAUUAGGAAUUCCUAAUGAAUUAUUUAGCCUGCCACAUGGGUAUAAGGUUCAGAUCAGCUGAGAAUGUUACAACAAAUGCUGUUUAAUUACUUAUUUUAAAAGAUAAUAUGUAAUUAAUCUAAGCAAGUGGAAUAAUAUGCUGUAAUGAAUAGUAAUACUGAAGGGUCAGCUGGAAAAGUAACUGUUAUUUCUUCAAAAACCAAAGGCUGGACCACGGAACUGAUAGCGGUGGGAUUGUUAUCCUUUCUUUUUCAUAAAACUACUUUAUUUCCUCAAUCUAGACUCUUGCACAACCUUCAAAGUCAUAAAGGAAGGUAACUUAUUUAUUGAACUCAUGGUGCAUAAGCUAGGACAAUAAUGUUGGAUUUAAUUACCCAUGUUCAUUCCAUGUUCUUUUGUAAUAAAUUAAGUUGAUCACAUGUCCUGAUAAGACAGAGAGUAUAUACAAGCAGAUUUACUAAGCUGUAAACUUACUGCCACAAAAUUAAAGUCAACAAAUAAUGAACGGAACAAAACAAACUAAUAAUGACUCAUAACUCAAAUUAAAGUUUAAGGCACACUUAAUAUUUACAGAAUAGCUUGAAAAGGCAGCGACAUUUAGCAGUUCUAAAAUUUUAAACUUACCAGAAGCAGGACUACAUUAAACAUUGUGAAAGUAAUAAAACUGACAUUACUUAACCCUUUCAGCUUUGAGCUGAAUGUGAAAUUAAGUUAUAUAAUUCAAAAAGGAACUCCUUUAAUGAGUAUACGGAAGAACAUGACAAAUAUUUUCGAUAUCUAUUUCAGUAAAUUGAACUUUACAGUCCUGUCAUUAUUGUAAGAAUAUACAGUAAUAAAAUAAGGCAGUACCUCCAGGACUAAAAGGGUUAAAUGUAGAAAGUAACUUUUUGUAGUUCAGUGUUUGACAAUAUAAUUGCAGGAUGGUAAUGAUGUAACUGUUACUGAGCUUUGAAAAUUGAGAUUGGAAUGCUCCAAAUUUUAAAAUAAAAAUGUACAAAAACAAUUCUUACCACUCCACUAGUGUUUUCAGAUUCCUGUUCUGAUUAUCAUCUUCAAUUUAAACAUCUGUGUAGUUUCUGGAUGAUGCAAAAUACAAUAUUAAAUAUAUCUGUAUUCAGAUAUUCAUAUCCUGACAAAUUGUAAAUAGUGAUAUUCACAAAUUUUCUAUAUAAAGAUAACGAACUAUGUGUUGCAAGAGCACGGCCCUGUCGUUACGAGUUAAAGACAAAGGUUUCUGGUUGUUAUUUCAUAGCUAGGUUUCUUAAAUGUAUUACCU